rnacentral:rRNA from 1 species
AACGUAGGAGGCGAGCGUUAUCCGGAGUUACUGGGCGUAAAGGGCGCGCAGGUGGUAGGGUAAGUGUGGCGUGAAAGCUCCUGGCUAAACUAGGAGAGGUCGAAACAGACUGCCCAACUAGAGAGUGAUAGAAGUACGCGGAAUUCGGGGUGUAGCGGUGAAAUGUGUAGAGAUCCCGAGGAACACCAAUGGUGAAAACGGCGUACUGGGUCAUAUCUGACACUGAGGCGCGAAAAGCUUGGGGAGCGAACGGG